GCAGUGAAUGAGGCUUUUGCUUGUCAGUUGGGGCAGUCAUUGCAUUGCUGUGGAGGAGGCCUGGCUUGAUGCUGGCAGGAGCAGCUGACUUCCCAUGGCAAAGCUGUAAGCACGUCUCGUGGCCCCAUCAGCACCUGUCCAUGGGCUUUCAGUGACUCGGUGGUGACUGUUCUCUGCUACAGGCAGGCUCUGUCGCAUUGCCUGGCUGGAGGGGACAAACUGGAGAUGGACAGUGAGAGCAUUGGGGAGACUGUGUUUGUGGUUAGAGUGGAAUAUAGGAGAUGUGGAUUUUAUUUGCAGCUCUGCUGCAGAUUCCUGCAUGACCUGGGCACCGUGGCCUAUGGUAAACUCCAAUGAAAGACUGCUCACAAGUUCAAAAAUCCAGUGAUGCAGCAUGUCCACACCCUGGUGCCAGGGAUCUUUGGCUACCAAGCAUGAAAACACAUUUGUACAUCUUCCCAUAAAU